rnacentral:rRNA from 1 species
CAGUGACUGUCACAUCCUUCCAUGGGGAUUCUCUAUACUGAAGCCUUUGCAGCCCCGCAAGGGGUCUUCCUUUCGACUAUAAAUAAAGGAUUUAUGCAAGUUAGAAUUCUGCUGCCGGAGUUUUCUAGCAACACAAUCGAAUUGACGGGGAGACCCUAAAACCUGCAUCACUACCCACUGAGGGAAACUUCAGUGGUAUCCUGUGCGAAAGACACGGGGGAGAGUAACAGAAUGUGGGGUACCUCUGAUCCUUCGGGGUUGGUAAAGAUGGGCAAUCCGCAGCGAAGGUUCUAAGUGCUUCUCGAGGCAUAUGAGCAACGUUCACAGACUAAGUGGUUGUGGGUGGAAGUCUUGGUGGCUUCCGCUUAAGAUAUAGUCGGGCUCUGUGGGGAAACUCCAGAGAUGAAUCAAACCGUUCCGUAGGUGAACCUGCGGAAGGAUCAUUAACAGAGAUAAGAGAUGUCCAUCAUCUCGAGCCUCCAUCCUAUGCGAACCAAUGCUACCUUUUGUUGCUUCGGUGCCUUCAUCACACCGAUAGUAUAGCUCAAAUUCGUUUUAAAAUCGUGAUGUCUGAGUUUUUAUACCAAACUUAAUAAAACUUUCAACAACGGAUCUCUUGGUUCUGGCAUCGAUGAAGAACGCAGCGAAAUGCGAUAAGUAAUGUGAAUUGCAGAAUUCAGUGAAUCAUCGAAUCUUUGAACGCAUAUUGCACCUUUUGGUAUUCCGAAAGGUAUGCCUGUCCGAGCGUCAUUUCACCCCUCAAACUUUGGUUUGGUAUUGGGCCUGGUGUUGGCAUUGUCAACGGCCCCAAAAUCAGUGGCGGCGCGACAUAAAUCCCAAGCGUAGUGAUACUGUUUGUGCUUCGGUGGUUUAUGGUCGUGGUAGCCAAAAGCAUGGGCGGAUGUAAAGGGGGGCGGAAAAUGAUAUUUUCCCUCUUUGCACCUUCCGAAUGUUUUUCCAUCAUUGACCUCGGAUCAAGUAGGGAUACUCGCUGACUAG